CGAACGGGUGAGUAACGCGUGAGUAACCUGCCCUGGAGUGGGGGGACGAACAGUUGGAAACGACUGCUAAUACCGCAUAAGCCCACGAUCCGGCAUCGGAUUGAGGGAAAAGGAUUUAUUCGCUUCAGGAUGGACUCGCGUCCAAUUAGCUAGUUGGUGAGGUAAUGGCCCACCAAGGCGACGAUCGGUAGCCGGACUGAGAGGUUGAACGGCCACAUUGGGACUGAGACACGGCCCAG
rnacentral:rRNA from 1 species